GAGCAUAUCACGUUGAAACAUUGGUUCCUGUACGAUCACUCAAGUUAAGCAAUGUUGAGCCUGAUCAAUACCUAGAUGGGUGUCUACUUGGGAAUACCAAGUACUGUAAG